UAAACCUUGUGUUUUCUGGAUCUGAAAAGUCAUUUCUUGAUCAAUAUCAUCCUUCUCUCAUAUCGAACUCUCUAAGUGCAUUACCAAACUGAGUGAAGGUUGGAUAUGGGCCUUGCUCAGCAUAACAUCCUCAAGGUAAUUAUCCUCAAGACUCCCCCAAAUCUGUUUGGUCGAAGUGCAACUUAUAAUAAGUAACAUCAACUUCUCACCAUGACAUCUUUUUCUUCCCAUUCUAUAAACUUAGAUAUUGAUGUUUUCUUCAUCGUCCUUUUCGUUUACCAAAACCUUAGACGGCAGUUCUUUCACAACAAUAUCACCAAUCAUCAGGGUUUGCAUCAACUGGCUUAAAGAACGUGGGAUAGGGUUUAGGAUUCGGAAUAACUUAGGUUAGAACCAAAGCUCUGAUACCAUGAAGAAGAUUUAUAAACCAAUAUUGAGAGUAAAAAACUUUUUAUGCUUCUCUUCUACAUGAGGUGAUGGUUCCAUUAUAUAGCCACGCCAUCUUACUUCUUAGAUCAGUAAUAUAACUAAUCAAAAACUAUGUCAAUAUCUAAUAACUGAUCCCAAAUUAAUUCAGUGAUUAGAGUGCCUACUAACGUUCUGCCUAUUAAUAGGAAAUACUAAUACAAGUAACUUUUUUUUAUUCGGAGAAGAUCAACCACUUCAAAGAUGAAAUCUGGAUAAAACAAAAAAUUAGGAAGUCUCUUUUUUUAAUAACUCUGGUGUCCGGGCUAGCUAGAGCACAUCUCAACUAAUUCCAUGCAAGACCUGCCACCUCCUAUCAACAACUAAUGUUGUCUGCCUAGUGUCUCUGUGAGUUUUGAACAAGAGACCUUAUAGUUCUCAACCCACUUCACUGAACAUAAAGAUUAGGAAGUUGCAACUGUGCUACUCCAUAUUUAAUCAUUACAUCAAGAAAGAAACGAUAAGAGAGGCUGUCUCCUUACAAGGUCUUGAGCAAUAAUUACCUCAUAAGCUAGCGCAAAAGCUGAGUUAUGACUUAGGGUCAAUAUCCAUUUUCUUAAUGAGUUGUCUUCUUAUAUAGUUUGGGCAAAAUCCUUAUCUCAUAACCUAGGUUUUGGGGCGGUGCUAGACACAAUAAGUAAGAUUGACCCGAAUUCUUGAUUUACACAAUGUUAGGCCCCUAUAUUAUGUUGUCAACAUCUCCAAAUAUCCAUCACUAAUUAAGAGAGGUGUUCCCAGAAUGUUUAAUAGAAUGAGUAGUUGUCUCCUUAUAUGAUCUUGGCAAUCUUCACGUCAUGAACUAGUUUUGUGGUUAACUUAGGCACAAAGUUCAUUUUCUUAUCAUUGAUAAAUGAAUUAAAAAGCAACAUAUAUCAAGACUUCAUAAAAAGGGGAAAUUGAUAAAUGUCUCUAAUUAGGAUCUCAAAAAUUAAAAAAUAAUAGAAAAAGAAAUCAAUUAAUAUCAAAGCUUUCUUGUUUUUCUCAAAAAUCACUCGAAGGUAAGAAAGAGAUCAUUUUACAUCCUCCUAGAGGAGUAGUAAAUGAUGAAGAUAAGAAACCAGGCAUCUCCGAGUGCAGACUGCUGAUGCUGAUCACAGUAAAAUAUGGGAAGGAUCUACAGUGGAUUCGGCAGAGACCUUAAUGAGUAAAGCUACUUAAUUUGGAAUAUGACAGGAACGUAGCAACAAUAAUUGCACAUAUACAUUUGUAA